AUGUGAUGGUGUGGACAUUUCCUAAGCAAAUCGUUCAAUUACUCCCAUGCCUCAUGAAACAUUUCCCCUUCCCCUUGUGAGAAUUCUCGAAUUGAAAUUCUUAUUGC